rnacentral:rRNA from 1 species
GACGAACGCUGGCGGCGUGCUUUACACAUGCAAGUCGAACGGUGAAGGUGGAGCUUGCUCCGCCGGAUCAGUGGCGAACGGGGGAGUAACACGUGGGCAGCCUGCCCCUAACUUUGGGAUAACUACUCGAAAGAGUAGCUAAUACCGGAUAUGAAGUCUGUAGGCAUCUACGGAUUUGGAAAGUUUUUCGGUUAGGGAUGGGCCCGCGGCCUAUCAGCUUGUUGGUGAGGUAGUGGCUCACCAAGGCGACGACGGGUAGCCGGCCUGAGAGGGCGACCGGCCACACUGGGACUGAGACACGGCCCAGACUCCUACGGGAGGCAGCAGUGGGGAAAAUUGCGCAAUGGGCGAAAGCCUGACGCAGCAACGCCGCGUGCGGGAUGAAGGCCUUCGGGUUGUAAACCGCUUUCAGCAGGGAAGAAGCGAAAGUGACGGUACCUGCAGAAGAAGCACCGGCUAACUACGUGCCAGCCGCCGCAGUAA